rnacentral:lncRNA from 1 species
CUGGAUACAGGGCAUGAUACUGCUAUCUGCUAUAUACUUACUCCGAACUUUGUUCCCGGGCCGCUCCGUUCGACCCUCUUUGGCAAUAAAUGGAUAGUCGUCAAAAAAUACUUAUGGCCAUUCUAUCAUAGCCAUCAUUGGAAGAAUUGUAUCGUUUGACAACCAACGUUUUCAGCAAAAACCAAGGGAUUUUUUUUUUCUAAUUUUCUGGAAUUGGAUCACUACAAUUUAUUGGCAAAUUUUACGUUACAC